UCUCCAAGUGAAGUGUCACUGUCAGUCAGCAUGCGAGCGGUGUUUUUUUGAAACGCCGCCAGUAACACAGAACCUGGAGAAUCUGAUUACCACCCCAGCUUAUUCGUUCUCAUUAUGGAAAAGGAAAUUUCACUGAAGCCAGAAUUUAAAGCUAUUAAAUCCUGAUUUGAUGGCUACAAGUUUUGUCAAGUGACGCUGACGUAACUGUGUAUUCACAAAGUCUAGAUUCUGCGGAAAGAUUAGAGAAACGGCAGAGCAGUUCUUCGUAUUAUUUGCAUACAAGACUUGAAGCACUUCAUAAUCAUCUUUUUGGUGACCCUUUUAAUGGUACUUUCGUUUACUAUUUUAGUAGUAAAGGACACCUUUUAAAGCACAACUUCUCAAAGGAUACAAGAUUAGGUGCUGGGAGGUUGUUUGGCAAGCAGACUUUACAGAACCAGAUGAAGUUAGUGAAGAUGAUAAAGCUGAAAAUUUACAUUACUUUGCAAGUGUCUGUUUCCCAUCAUCUGACCUUGCUAUAGUAGGCAUGGUCAAGGAAGUCUUCAUAUUCUUGAGACAGGGGACAGAAGUACUACUCGGAGCU